ACUCUGAUCAUGGACCUUCUGAACCUAAAAGAAAUAUAAGGGCUAGAAAAGAAAAAGAUCUUGGUGAAGGCUUCUUUAUCUUUCUUGUUGAAGGUCAAUCUUCCACUUUUGUGGAGACAAUAUCUUCACCUGAUGUCCUUUUCUGAAAAGAAGCUAUUAAUUCUGAAUUCAACUCAAUAAUCCAAAACCAAACCUAGAUCCUUACUGAUCUUUCUCUAAGUAGUA
rnacentral:lncRNA from 1 species